GCAAGCGCCUCCUGAAACAUCGGGCACCCUACGAGGAAACUCUGGGAGUGAAUGUGGUCAAACUCAAGGAAGCCUAAAUCUGACAACAGGUAUGGUAAUCUUGAGCCAAGCUCUACUCUAAAACCAGUAGAGAAGGUGCAGAGACUGGCUUUAAGGACUUCUCAAAAAUCUCCUUAAACAUACGGCCACCACCUAAAGGCUACUAGCUUAUGGUGAAGGAAUAGUCCAGAGAGUGGGGAAACUCACAC
rnacentral:ncRNA from 1 species